rnacentral:lncRNA from 1 species
AAGAAAGUGGCAGCGAUUGUUCGAUAACUCGCUGCUGGAGGCCGCUGCUGACUCCCCAAGGCGACCCAGGGAAAAGAAACCAGCCUGGUUUCUUCGCUCAGACUCCUUUGGCAACCCUACCCCACCGAGAGGUUUUUGUGGAUCACCACAGCAGCAUCCCCCAGCACAGUGCCCAUUCCUUUUCCCCGUGGAGGGAAACGUCGGUUCCUAAAGGUGAAGCCAGCUCCUGUGCCCCCUCAGUGUCCCUGCAGAGCAGAUCCAUGCUCUUUUAGUUCACUGGCAAGGAGCUACCUGCCUCACACCCAGCCUAGAGAAGGGGAAGGUGUUUCCUGCUUGCCUGUAACAUGAGGAUCAUGGCAGGAACAGAGGUGAUGGAAGUCAAGGCCUUCAAAGCCAGGCUGAGCUCCUCGCUCUGGUGGGAGGGCAAGCUGGUGGAGGGGAGCAGAGCAGUUUGCAAAUCUGCAGGGAGGGCUGCUCCACAGGGCUGGGGGCAAGCAUGCUGCCCCCCCUGCUGCACACAGCCAGAGUGUUCCCUUCAUCUCCGUGUGCAGCUUAUAAAUGCCUUAGCAGAUUAUUUCCCUUUAUCUGAGAAGAGGGAAGGAGUUUUAUUCACCUGCUCCUUUCUGUUCAGUCCUUUGAAGGUCACACCUGUCACAUCUAUGGCUUUUUUCUUCCCUUAUUUUUGCAGCAUGAGGCUCUGUGGUACAGUGAUAUCACAGAAGAAAUCUUCUCAAGAUGUGAGACAGAGACACACAAAAUUCCUGUGCUCCUGCCUGAAGACAGAGCAGCUGGGGAAGGGAGCAUGCUCCAGGCUGCCCUGCACCCCUGGGCUUCUCAGAUGGGGCUGCUGCUGGCAACACCAAGGCAUUGGGUGUGGAUGGCCCCGAUCCUUAAAGAUGGGAAUUCAUCCCUUUGAAACUCACCUGUGGCAGAACUCAGCAGGCAGGGGGCAGCCCUGGGAUGACAGCGAUGCUGCCAUUCAUUGCAACGGGGCCAGGAGAAACAGCAGCAGGCACAACAGUCUCAUGGACUGAGUGCAUGUGUGCACGUGUUGGUGCUUUCAUUUUUGCGGCUGCAGCUCCCAGAGUUGUGAGGUUGGUGUUGCAUUUCAGUUGCCCUUUUUGCAGGAAAAAGAAAAAGAAAAAAGAAGGGGAGGAAAGUUUCUACCUGCAGUUGUGGAUGAGACUGAAAAAGGGAAGCCCAGGGCUCAGAUGUGAGAAGUGAAGGUGGCUCAGGUGGGCAUGGCAAACCCACCUCGUGAGGGCUUUUCUCAGUGAUCAAGGCUGGUUUUGCUGCAGCAGGAUCAGGCCCCGCUGCCCAGAGCCAGGAGGUGGCUGGUGUGGGCAGGAGGUGGUGGGGCUAAUUUGUCUGCCUUUUGCAUCCUUUAAUGCAGAGCUGUAACAGCAGGAGCAGGCAGUCUGCGGGGGCUGUUGGUACUGGGGUUUACUUUCCUAGUGCAAUACAUGCACAGCAAAAACACUUAUUACCUGAAAAGAUCUCAGCCUGCUGACUUCCAUCAAAUUCCGCCUAAUAACCUUACUACAUUUAAUUCUAAUCUCUCCCCUCUUUCAGGAGCUGAUCAGUCUCUUCUGGCAUUCCCACUAACCUUCUCUCUGACUGCAGACACUAUAUAAAAUGUGAGUACUCAGAGUGAGAACUGUCUUUCUAUGACUGUGCGUUUUUAACCCGACAACAGAAAAAGCUUCCUUCCUACAUUUGUAUCUUGCUAUCUCACGGAGGCCCA